AUUGAACGCUGGCGGCAUGCUUUACACAUGCAAGUCGGACGAGUGGCGAACGGGUGAGUAACGCAUCGGAACGUACCGAGUCAUGGGGGAUAACUGUCCGAAAGGACAGCUAAUACCGCAUAUCAUUCGAGGGGCCGAUUUUGGAUUAGCUAGUUGGUGGGGUAAAGGCCCACCAAGGCGACGAUCAGUAGCGGGUCUGAGAGGAUGACCCGCCAAACUGGAACUGAGAACCGGACCAGACUCCUACGGGAGGCAGCAGUGGGGAAUUUUGGAAAAUGGGCGCAAGCCUGAUCCAGCCAUGCCGCGGGUCUGAAGAAGGCCUUCGGGUUGUAAAGUACUUUCAGCGGGGAGGCGUUACCCGCAGAAGAAGCACCGGCUAACUCCGUGCCAGCAGCCGCGGUAAUUC
rnacentral:rRNA from 1 species